CCCAAUUCUAACAGCAUAAGAGAGGUAGUGACAAGAAAUAACAGUACAAGGCAGUUAAAAUGUUUUGUAAUUGGAAUGAUAGAAAUUUAAACACUUUUUAAAGUAUCAAUUGGAGGGCAAGUCUGGUGCCAGCAGCCGCGGUAAUUCCAGCUCCAAUAGCGUAUAUUAAAAUUGUUGCAGUUAAAAAGCUCGUAGUUGAAUUUUUGCUAGAAAUAACCGGUCUGCUUUUAUUAAUAAGAGUGGUACCUUGGUGUGUUUUUAGCAAUAAUGUCCUUUGAAAUGUGUUUUACUUUAUUGUAAAAGCAAUAUUCAGGAUUUUUACUUUGAGAAAAUUAGAGUGUUUCAAGCAAGCUA
rnacentral:rRNA from 1 species